CUGAGAAAAUACCGUAAAAAUUUAGUUUCAAUGGCUGAAAAGCUGCAGGAGCAGCUGAAAGAGCUCGGAUUGAAGCUCGACAGACCUCCUGAUUCGAAAGACGUUCUUAUGAAGCUCUUGAAGGUGAGAUUUUUUCUUUAGUUAUCUUUAUUUUGGAUAAAUUUUUGCUGCCACCUAAUUUUGAGUUGUAACAUUGAAAUUUCGUGCCCUUGGAAGUUCAUUGACAGAUGCAUGCUUAUGAAUUUGUGAGAUUUAUGGCUUUGUGAGGGGCUGGGAUGAUUAGGGUUGAGUUUUAUAGAGCUUUGAAAUCAGUAAAACCAAGGAAGGAUAAGUUAAAGUGAUUCAAGCAUUUUCUAACAUUUUCAAGUAAAUGUAUGAUGCCUUGCAAUGCACACUAUAUUUUAUUUAACGUAAUACUCAUAUUUUUUUACAAACAUUUAUGUUAUCUUGUUGUAAGAAUGUCAUUUGAAACUUUUACGACAGUUGAAUAUGCAACUUCGUGGGACAAACAAAAUAUUGUUACAUGCUAACUCGACGUUUGUUUUUAAAGAGUUUGCACUUCAAAUGACUAUAUAUCAUUUCUAAUUUCGUAAAUUGUGUGUAUAUUGCAUUGGAUUUUUCCAUUCUGUUGGUUGGAAUGAAGAAAAUAUUUAUUUUUACCAGUGAGCUCUUUAUCUUUAUUUCUAUUAUAAUUUAUAAGAAAUUUUGAACUUGAAUUUGAUAGUCAGCCCCAAAAAUAUUCCAUGUUAUGAGUAGAUUCAACGAUGUUUUGGUUAGAUAGAAAAUCAUAGACAUAGAUGGUGACGGCGAUCUUGAUGAUGUUGGUCUACGGUCGAGCAUGAUGAUGGUGGUUGAUGGUAUCGAUAAUUUUAAAUUUUGGGUUUGCGUUUGGGUUUAGGUUUGUAUGUGUGUUUGAUAAUUUCUAUGUAUUUGUGUGAGGAAUAAAAAAUUAAUAUUUAAAAAAUAAAAAAGAAUGAAAAGUAACUUUGAAAUUUCAAAAAAACGAAGUUCACGUGUAAUUUUCACCUCAAAAUAUUGUCUAUCUUACUAAAAUCAAUUUCAAAUUCAUUAAACCUUGUAAUAGACAGAAUGCCAAAAUGCUAAAAAAAGAAAAAGGGAAAGAAAAUUCACAAAAAAAAAAAAAGAAAAGAAAAAGAAAAAAAAGAAAGAAAGGAUACAUAAAACACUAUACACAAGUUUAAAGAGAUAAACAGGGGGGCUUAAAUUGCAAAUACUAACAAAGUAGAAGACAUCAAGAAGCAAAUUAUCCUGUUCAAAAAAGUUACAGUUUGGUCGGUAGUAAUUAUGAAAAUUGAUUUUUUGAUCGUUAGAAAGAAAAUUAAGUCUCACAUACGAGAGGAGAAGUAAAAAAUGAUAACUGCUUUGAACAAGUUACGUUUAAAAAAUUAAUUUUUUAGGAUGGAAAAUCACAAUCAAAUAUGCAUUUAAUUUGGGAAACUUGAGCGUGCCAUAAGUCAAACUCACUUGCUCUCGCUUCCCUGUUCGGAAGAGAAAAAAAGCCCCGUACGAUACUUCCUCAAUUGUCACACUCACACUCACAGACAGAGAGACACGGACACUAUAAAACGCGCUAUGUAUGUUUCUUACACAUAAUCACUUAUUUUGCAAUUCUGAGAAAAUACCGUAAAAAUUUAGUUUCAAUGGCUGAAAAGCUGCAGGAGCAGCUGAAAGAGCUCGGAUUGAAGCUCGACAGACCUCCUGAUUCGAAAGACGUUCUUAUGAAGCUCUUGAAGGUGAGAUUUUUUCUUUAGUUAUCUUUAUUUUGGAUAAAUUUUUGCUGCCACCUAAUUUUGAGUUGUAACAUUGAAAUUUCGUGCCCUUGGAAGUUCAUUGACA
rnacentral:lncRNA from 1 species